rnacentral:tRNA from 1 species
GUCAGGAUGGCUGAGUGGUUUAAGGUGACAGACUCAAGUUUAGGUUCUUGUAUGAGGGUGUGGGUUCAAAACCCACUUCUGACG